AGGGGUGGUUGGGGCUGUUCCUUCACGGGGGCAGUCUCGUCUACUGCGGGUUAACCGUGCCAAUCGUCUUCGUGCUGGGGAUCGGGGCUUGCAACUCAGCCCCGUGAACGAGGAAUUCCGAGUAGGCGUCCGUCAUCAGCUGGCGCCGAUUAA
rnacentral:rRNA from 1 species